AACGAACGCUGGCGGCAGGCCUAACACAUGCAAGUCGAGCGGACCCUUCGGGGUUAGCGGCGGACGGGUGAGUAACGCGUGGGAAUAUGCCCUUCUCUACGGAAUAGUCCUGGGAAACUGGGGGUAAUACCGUAUACGCCCUUUGGGGGAAAGAUUUAUCGGGGAAGGAUUAGCCCGCGUUGGAUUAGGUAGUUGGUGGGGUAAUGGCCUACCAAGCCGACGAUCCAUAGCUGGUUUGAGAGGAUGAUCAGCCACACUGGGACUGAGACACGGCCCAGACUCCUACGGGAGGCAGCAGUGGGGAAUCUUAGACAAUGGGGGCAACCCUGAUCUAGCCAUGCCGCGUGAGUGAUGAAGGCCUUAGGGUUGUAAAGCUCUUUCAGCUGGGAAGAUAAUGACGGUACCAGCAGAGGAAGCCCCGGCUAACUCCGUG
rnacentral:rRNA from 1 species